CGAUGAAUUCUUGACAGAACCCUUCGGGGCGAACAUAAUAUGGAUUACCGGCGGACGGGUGAGUAACACCUGGGUAACCUGCCUUAGACGUUGGGAUAGCCUCGGGAAACCGGGAUUAAUACCAAAUGAAAUCACCUAUGCCCAUGCAUAAGUGAUCCACGCUCCGGCGGCCUAAGAUGGACUCGCGUCCCAUUAGUUAGUUGGUGAGGUAACGGCCCAACAAGGCGUCGAUGGGUAGCCGGCCUGAGAGGGCGAACGGCCACAUUGGAACUGAGAAACGGCCCCUACUCCUACGGGAGGCAGCAGUGGGGAAUAUUGCACAAUGGAGGGAACUCUGAUGCAGCGACGCCGCGUGAACGAAGAAGGCUUUCGAGUUGUAAAGUUCUUUUAUAUGGGAAGAUAAUGACGGUACCAUAAGAAAAAGCCCCGGCUAAGUACGUGCCAGCAGCCGCGGUAACAUGUAGGGGGCUAGCGUUGUCCGGAAUCACUGGGAGUAAAGGGUUCGCAGGCGGAAAUGCAAGUCAGGUGUAAAAGGCAGUAGCUUAACUGCUGUAAGCAUUUGAAACUGCAUAUCUUGAGAAGAGUAGAGGUAAGUGGAAUUUUUAGUGUAGCGGUGAAAUGCGUAGAUAUUAAAAAGAAUACCGGUGGAGAAGGCGACUUACUGGGCUCAUUCUGACGCUGAGGAAUGAAAGCGUGGGUAGCAAACAGGAUUAGAUACCCUGGUAGUUCACGCUGUAAACGAUGAGUGCUAGGUAUCGGAAUAAUUCGGUUCCGC
rnacentral:rRNA from 1 species